AAACCGACACAGGUGGUCAGGUAGAGAAUACCAAGGCGCUUGAGAGAACUCGGGUGAAGGAACUAGGCAAAAUGGUGCCGUAACUUCGGGAGAAGGCACGCUGAUAUGUAGGUGAAGCGACUUGCUCGUGGAGCUGAAAUCAGUCGAAGAUACCAGCUGGCUGCAACUGUUUAUUAAAAACACAGCACUGUGCAAACACGAAAGUGGACGUAUACGGUGUGACGCCUGCCCGGUGCCGGAAGGUUAAUUGAUGGGGUUAGCGGUAACGCGAAGCUCUUGAUCGAAGCCCCGGUAAACGGCGGCCGUAACUAUAACGGUCCUAAGGUAGCGAAAUUCCUUGUCGGGUAAGUUCCGACCUGCACGAAUGGCGUAAUGAUGGCCAGGCUGUCUCCACCCGAGACUCAGUGAAAUUGAACUCGCUGUGAAGAUGCAGUGUACCCGCGGCAAGACGGAAAGACCCCGUGAACCUUUACUAUAGCUUGACACUGAACAUUGAGCCUUGAUGUGUAGGAUAGGUGGGAGGCUUUGAAGUGUGGACGCCAGUCUGCAUGGAGCCGACCUUGAAAUACCACCCUUUAAUGUUUGAUGUUCUAACGUUGGCCCGUAAUCCGGGUUGCGGACAGUGUCUGGUGGGUAGUUUGACUGGGGCGGUCUCCUCCUAAAGAGUAACGGAGGAGCACGAAGGUUGGCUAAUCCUGGUCGGACAUCAGGAGGUUAGUGCAAUGGCAUAAGCCAGCUUGACUGCGAGCGUGACGGCGCGAGCAGGUGCGAAAGCAGGUCAUAGUGAUCCGGUGGUUCUGAAUGGAAGGGCCAUCGCUCAACGGAUAAAAGGUACUCCGGGGAUAACAGGCUGAUACCGCCCAAGAGUUCAUAUCGACGGCGGUGUUUGGCACCUCGAUGUCGGCUCAUCACAUCCUGGGGCUGAAGUAGGUCCCAAGGGUAUGGCUGUUCGCCAUUUAAAGUGGUACGCGAGCUGGGUUUAGAACGUCGUGAGACAGUUCGGUCCCUAUCUGCCGUGGGCGCUGGAGAACUGAGGGGGGCUGCUCCUAGUACGAGAGGACCGGAGUGGACGCAUCACUGGUGUUCGGGUUGUCAUGCCAAUGGCACUGCCCGGUAGCUAAAUGCGGAAGAGAUAAGUGCUGAAAGCAUCUAAGCACGAAACUUGCCCCGAGAUGAGUUCUCCCUGACUCCUUGAGGGUCCUGAAGGAACGUUGAAGACGACGACGUUGAUAGGCCGGGUGUGUAAGCGCAGCGAUGCGUUGAGCUAACCGGUACUAAUGAACCGUGAGGCUUAACCUUACAACGCCGAAG
rnacentral:rRNA from 1 species